CCUCAAUGAAAACAGGACGCUUCUUUACCCUUUUGGCCCUUUCGUCCCCGCCGUGGAGGAUGGCGUUGGCCUUUUUCGCCAGCUUUUCCAGCUCCCUCACAGACAGGCCUUGCUUCACCGCCAGCUGAGCCGCCUGAAGCUGGUCGUCCUCGCUUUCAAAGGCCAGCAGGGUUCUCGCAUGGCCCGCGCUCAGCUUUCCGCCGGACACCAUAUGGAUAAUCUCCUCAGGCAGCCGGAGCAGCCGCAUGGCGUUGGUGAUGGCCGGACGGGAUUUUCCCACGGACCGGCUGACCUCCUCCUGGGUAAAGUGAUAGUGCUCCAUCAGGGUCUGAUAGCCCUGGGCUUCCUCAAUGGGGGAUAGAUCCUCCCGCUGGAGGUUUUCGAUCAGUGCCAGCUCCAUCACCUGGCCGUCGCUCAGCUCCCUAAUCACCACCGGAACCUCCUGGACCCCCGCCCGAUAGCGCAUAGUACCGUGAGGGAAAGGUGAAAAGAACCCCGGGAGGGGAGUGAAAUAGUACCUGAAACCGUAUGUCUACAAGCAGUCGAAGCGAAAGCGACGGCGUGCCUAUUGAAGAAUGAACCAACGAGUUAUCUGCACUAGCGAGGUUAAGUGGAAGACACGGAGCCGCAGCGAAAGCGAGUCUUAAGAGGGCGCUAGUUAGUGUAGGUAGACCCGAAACCGCAGUGAUCUACCCAUGUCCAGGUUGAAGCGCAGGUAAAAUUGCGUGGAGGACCGAACCGGUGAGCGUUGAAAAGCUUUCGGAUGAGAUGUGGGUAGGGGUGAAAUUCCAAUCGAACGCGGAGAUAGCUGGUUCUCCCCGAAAUAGCUUUAGGGCUAGCCUGAGGUAGUAAGUAUAGGCGGUAGAGCACUGAUCGGGCUAGGGGCCGUAAAGGUUACCGAACCCUGUCAAACUCCGAAUGGAUAUACUGUAGAGCCUUGGAGUCAGACUACGAGUGAUAAGAUCCGUGGUCAAAAGGGAAACAGCCCAGACCACCAGCUAAGGUCCCCAAUGUCGUACUAAGUGGAAAAGGAUGUGGGGUUUCAUAAACAACCAGGAUGUUGGCUCAGAAGCAGCCACCAUUUAAAGAGUGCGUAAUAGCUCACUGGUCGAGAGACCCUGCGCCGAAGAUUCCCGGGGCUAAAGUACGAAACCGAAGCUGUGGCUGUAUACGUAAAGUAUACGGGGUAGGGGAGCGUUCCCAUAGGGUAGAAGUCGAACUGGAAGGUUCGGUGGACUUGUGGGAAGUGAGAAUGUUGGUAUGAGUAGCGAAAAGAAAGGUGAGAAUCCUUUCCACCGAAAGCAUAAGGAUUCCUGAGCAACGAUCGUCGUCUCAGGGUAAGUCGGGACCUAAUCCGAGGCAGAGAGCGUAGGAGAUGGACAACUGGUUGAUAUUCCAGUACCGGUAGUAAUUGUUUGAGCAAUGGAGUGACACAGAAGGGCAGGCAAGCAUGCGAAUGGAAGAGCAUGUGUAAGCGUGUAGGGUGGUGCAUAGGCAAAUCCGUGCACUGAAAGCCUGAGGCGUGAUGCGGAGUGAGCAGAGAUGCGAGCGAAGUUGUUGACCCCACACUGUCGAGAAAAGCUUCUAGUGAGAGAGCUACCGCCCGUACCGUAAACCGACACAGGUAUGCGGGGAGAGAAUCCUAAGGUGCGCGGGAGAACCCUCGUUAAGGAACUCGGCAAAAUGUACCCGUAACUUCGGGAUAAGGGUAGCCACUGUUGUGAAGUCCCAUGCGGAUGGAGCAUAGAGUGGUCGCAGAGAAGAGGCCCAAGCGACUGUUUACCAUAAACACAGGUGCCUGCUAAAGCGAAAGCUGACGUAUAGGUGCUGACACCUGCCCAGUGCCGGAAGGUUAAGGAAGGAUGUUCGGAUUAGUCCAAAGCAUUCGACUGAAGCCCCGGUGAACGGCGGCCGUAACUAUAACGGUCCUAAGGUAGCGAAAUUCCUUGUCGGGUAAGUUCCGACCCGCACGAAAGGUGUAACGAUUUGGGCACUGUCUCAACGAGGGACCCGGUGAAAUUGAAAUACCUGUGAAGAUGCAGGUUACCCGCGACUGGACAGAAAGACCCCAUGGAGCUUUACUGUAACCUGACAUUGGGUUUUGAUACAUUACGUACAGGAUAGGUGGGAGGCAUGGAAAGCUGGACGCUAGUCUGGCUGGAGCCGACGUUGGGAUACCACCCUUGAUGUAUUGAAAUUCUAACCGCGAGAGUAACGAAAUCCGGGACAGUGUCAGGCGGGCAGUUUGACUGGGGCGGUCGCCUCCGAAAGAGUAACGGAGGCGCCCAAAGGUUCCCUCAGCGCGGCCGGAAAUCGCGCGAAGAGUGUAAAGGCAGAAGGGAGCUUGACUGCGAGUCAAACACGACGAGCAGGUACGAAAGUAGGGCUUAGUGAUCCGGUGGUACCGAGUGGAAGGGCCAUCGCUCAACGGAUAAAAGCUACCCUGGGGAUAACAGGCUAAUCUCUCCCAAGAGUCCAUAUCGACGGGGAGGUUUGGCACCUCGAUGUCGGCUCAUCACAUCCUGGGGCUGAAGUCGGUCCCAAGGGUUGGGCUGUUCGCCCAUUAAAGUGGUACGUGAGCUGGGUUCAGAACGUCGUGAGACAGUUCGGUCCCUAUCCAUCGCGGGCGCAAGAGAUUUGAAGGGGGCUGCUCCUAGUACGAGAGGACCGGAGUGGACGAACCGCUGGUGUACCAAUUAUCCCGCCAGGGGUACAGUUGGGUAGCUACGUUCGGAAAGGAUAAACGCUGAAAGCAUCUAAGCGUGAAACCAGCCUUAAGAUGAGAUCUCUCAUAGAGCAAUCUAGU
rnacentral:rRNA from 1 species